rnacentral:rRNA from 1 species
UACGUAGGGGGCAAGCGUUGUCCGGAAUCAUUGGGCGUAAAGAGCGUGUAGGCGGUCCGGUAAGUCGGCUGUGAAAGUCCAGGGCUCAACCCUGGGAUGCCGGUCGAUACUGCCGGACUAGAGUUCGGAAGAGGCGAGUGGAAUUCCCGGUGCAGCGGUGAAAUGCGCAGAUAUCGGGAGGAACACCUAUGGCGAAGGCAGCUCGCUGGGACGUUACUGACGCUGAGACGCGAAAGCGUGGGGAGCAAACAGG